GGAUUCCCCAAGUAACGGCGAGCGAAAGGGGAGGAGCCCAGCGCCCAAUCCCCCGGCGCUUUGGUGCCGGCGGGAAAUGUAGCGUAUAGGAGGGUCGAUUCUCCCGUGGCAUUGCGGCCGGUCCAAAUCCCUCUUGAAGGGGGUCACGGUCCCGAGAGGGUGCCAGGCCUGUGGGACGGUUGCGGGCUGCGGGAAGACCUCUCCUGUGAGUCGGGUUGCUUGAGAGUGCAGCCCUAAGACAGGUGGUAAACUCCAUCUAAGGCUAAAUACAACCACGAGACCGAUAGUAAACAAGUACCGUGAGGGAAAGUUGAAAAGAACUUUGAAGAGAGAGUUCAAGAGUACGUGAAACCGUUCUGGGGUAAACGGGUGGAGCCCUAACGCUCGAAAGGGGAGAUUCAGUAUCCCGUCCCAUCCACAGCACCGAUUUCCGGGAAGAGUUUGGCCGUUUUGGCGGCUGAACGACCCGUGUCUCGUUCUUGCUCGUGGUGGGGGGAGCGCACUUCUCCCUUAGUAGGACGUCGCGACCCGUUGGGUGUCAGUUUAAGACCUGGGUGCAAGCCCGUUGCUCUUUGUGGGUGAUGGAGCCUCAGGAAUCUGGCCGACUGCCCGACGGUGUUUAAAACGUUUUGUCUGCCCGCGAGCCUAGCAGCUCGCGCCCGUUCUCCUUGCGAGCGCUUGUUUGGACAUCGCUCAGCGGACUUGUUCCGCAGCGCACCAGCAGGCGUUGUCGGCGAAGAGAUUUCUCGGGCUGUGGCAGUCACGUUGGCGACGGAGAAAAAGGGUGGCCCACCCGGCCCGUCUUGAAACACGGACCAAGGAGUCUAACACGUAUGCGAGUCGUCGGGCCCCGCUACACCCGAAGGCGCAUUCAACGAAAAGGCUGGCACUUGUGGCUGGCUGAGGGAUGAUGGAGGUUUCUUUGGGAGCCUCCCGCAAUCCCGGGGCGUCUCGUCCUACUGCCGCUUGUCGGUUGAAGGUGAGGCGCACCAUGAGCAUACGCGUUGGUACCCGAAAGAUGGGUGAACUAUGCCUGGCCAGGAUGAAGUCAGGGGAAACCCUGAUGGAGGUCCGUAGCGAUUCUGACGUGCAAAUCGAUCGUCAGAGCUGGGUAUAGGGGCGAAAGACUAAUCGAACCAUCUAGUAGCUGGUUCCCUCSGAAGUUUCCCUCAGGAUAGCUGGCAUUCGGAGAUUCGAAUCCCAUCACGGCUAAACGCGAAUGAUUAGAGGCUGUGGGAUCAGAACACGAUUUCAACCUAUUCUCAAACUUUAAAUGGGUGGGAACCGCGGCUUGCUUGAAAGUGAAGCCGCGGAUCCGGAUCAGAGUGCCCAGUGGGCCACUUUUGGUAAGCAGAACUGGCGCUGUGGGAUGAACCAAACGCCGGGUUAAGGCGCCAAAAUCGACGCUCAUUCGACACCAUGAAAGGUGUUGGUUGCUUAAGACAGCAGGACGGUGGCCAUGGAAGUCGGAAUCCGCUAAGGAGUGUGUAACAACUCACCUGCCGAAGCAACUAGCCCUGAAAAUGGAUGGCGCUGAAGCGUCGUGCCUAUACCCGGCCGCCGGUGGCAGGAGGUGGUCACCCUUGGGUGAUCACCACCAGGUCCCGGUGAGUAGGAGGGUCGCGACGGUGAGCGCAGAAGGGUCUGGGCGUGAGCCUGCCUGGAGCCGCCGUCGGUGCAGAUCUUGGUGGUAGUAGCAAAUACUCCAGCGAGGGCCUGGAGGACUGAUGUGGAGAAGGGUUCCGUGUGAACAGCCGUUGCACACGGGUCAGUCGAUCCUAAGCCCUAGGCGAAAGCCGAUGACGAUGGUCGCGGGAUGUCGCGAGUAAGCACAAUUUGGCAGCGUGAUGGUCUUGUCUCCUCUUCUUCCCUCCGAAUGACCGGGUGACGCCGCAUACGGAGGUGCAGGCAAGAGGUAGAAAGUGCCGCUCGCUCAUGCCAGUUGUGUCGCUUCAGAACCCCGUCCAUUGGGCGAAAGGGAAUCCGGUUCCUAUUCCGGAACCCGGUUGCGGGACCGUCUCUCGAUCCUCGUAUUGACGCGGUAACGCUAAAGACCCUAGAGAUGCCGUCUGGAGCCCCGGGAAGAGUUUUCUUUUCUGUUUGAGCGUUCGGGUUCCAUGGAAUCCUCUCGUAGGGAGAUAUGGAAUGGAGCGCGAAGAGCACCGCAGUUGCUGCGGUGUCCGGGGAGUCCCGUCGGCCCUUGAAAAUCUAGGUGAGGGUCACGUGGAGGCGCCGCACCGGUUCGUACCCAUAUCCGCAGCAGGUCUCCGAGU
rnacentral:rRNA from 1 species